GAUCAGACCAAAGCGCAGCGUGGUAGGUGUUCAUCAGUAUAUUUAUUAGGUAAACAGGGUAAACAUUGGAAUGAGGAUCAGACCAAAGCGCAGCGUGGUAGGUGUUCAUCAGUAUAUUUAUUAGGUAAACAGGGUAAACAUUGGAAUGAGGAUCAGACCAAAGCGCAGCGUGGUAGGUGUUCAUCAGUAUAUUUAUUAGGUAAACAGGGUAAACAUUGGAAUGAGGUGAGGACCAAAGCGCAGCGUGGUAGGUGUUCAUCAGUAUAUUUAUUCAACAGAGAACACUAAACAAAAUAACAAAGGACAACAAAAUGAAACAGUUCUGAAAGGUGACAGACACAUAACAGAAAACAACCACCCACGAAACACAGGUGGGAAAAGGCUACCUAAGUUUGAUUCUCAAUCAGAGACAACUAUGAAACCUGCCUCUGAUUGAGGCCAAACACAAAACACAACAUAGAAAAAGGAACAUAGACAACCCACGCAACUCACGCCCUGACCAUACUGGGGCGGCAGCGUAGCCUAGUGGUUAGAGCGUUGGAGUUCAAACCCCCGAGCUGACAAGGUAUAAAUCUGUCGUUCUGCCCCUGAACAGGCAGUUAACCCACUGGUCCGAGGCCGUCAUUGAGAAUAAGAAUUUGUUCUUAACUGACUUGCCUAGUUAAAUAAAGGUAAAAUAAAAUCCAAUAAAAUACUAAAACAAAGACAAAACAAAAUAACUAAAGUCAGAACGUGACAG